UACGUAGGGUGCGAGCGUUUGUCCGGAAUUAUUGGGCGUAAAGAGCUCGUAGGCGGUUCGUCGCGUCGGCUGUGAAAACCCGGAGCUCAACUCCGGGCCUGCAGUCGAUACGGGCGGACUUGAGUGUUGCAGGGGAGACUGGAAUUCCUGGUGUAGCGGUGAAAUGCGCAGAUAUCAGGAGGAACACCGGUGGCGAAGGCGGGUCUCUGGGCAACUACUGACGCUGAGGAGCGAAAGCGUGGGGAGCGAACAGG
rnacentral:rRNA from 1 species